AAGUUGCAGGGUAUAGACCCGAAACCCGGUGAUCUAGCCAUGGGCAGGUUGAAGGUUGGGUAACACUAACUGGAGGACCGAACCGACUAAUGUUGAAAAAUUAGCGGAUGACCUGUGGCUGGGGGUGAAAGGCCAAUCAAACCGGGAGAUAGCUGGUUCUCCCCGAAAGCUAUUUAGGUAGCGCCUCGUGAAUUCAUCUCCGGGGGUAGAGCACUGUUUCGGCUAGGGGGCCAUCCCGGCUUACCAACCCGAUGCAAACUGCGAAUACCGGAGAAUGUUAUCACGGGAGACACACGGCGGGUGCUAACGUCCGUCGUGAAGAGGGAAACAACCCAGACCGCCAGCUAAGGUCCCAAAGUCAUGGUUAAGUGGGAAACGAUGUGGGAAGGCCCAGACAGCCAGGAUGUUGGCUUAGAAGCAGCCAUCAUUUAAAGAAAGCGUAAUAGCUCACUGGUCGAGUCGGCCUGCGCGGAAGAUGUAACGGGGCUAAACCAUGCACCGAAGCUGCGGCAGCGAACGUAUCACUUAAAGCGAUUCAGCGGGUUACGAUUGACGGAGCGAAGCGACGUCAAAGCGUAUACAAAGUCGAGUCGGUUUAAGGAUACGUUCGUUGGGUAGGGGAGCGUUCUGUAAGCCUGUGAAGGUGGCCUGUGAGGGUUGCUGGAGGUAUCAGAAGUGCGAAUGCUGACAUAAGUAACGAUAAAGCGGGUGAAAAGCCCGCUCGCCGGAAGACCAAGGGUUCCUGUCCAACGUUAAUCGGGGCAGGGUGAGUCGACCCCUAAGGCGAGGCCGAAAGGCGUAGUCGAUGGGAAACGGGUUAAUAUUCCCGUACUUGGUGUUACUGCGAAGGGGGGACGGAGAAGGCUAUGUUGGCCGGGCGACGGUU
rnacentral:rRNA from 1 species